rnacentral:rRNA from 1 species
UACGGAGGGUGCGAGCGUUGUUCGGAAUCACUGGGCGUAAAGGGCGUGUAGGCGGUCCGCUAAGUCUGAUGUGAAAGCCCGGGGCUCACCCCCCGGAAGGGCAUUGGAAACUGACGGACUCGAGUCCCGAAGAGGAGGGUGGAAUUCCUGGUGUAGCGGUGAAAUGCGUAGAUAUCAGGAGGAACACCGGUGGCGAAGGCGGCCCUCUGGACGGUGACUGACGCUGGAGACGCGAAAGCCGUGGGGAGCAAACAGG